rnacentral:rRNA from 1 species
CUACGGGAGGCUGCAGUGGGGAAUAUUGGACAAUGGGGGAAACCCUGAUCCAGCAAUGCCGCGUGUGUGAAGAAGGCCUGCGGGUUGUAAAGCACUUUCGGUUGGGAGGACUGCUUCUAGCACUAAUAUUGUUGGAAGUUGACGUUACCUUCAGAAGAAGCACCGGCUAACUCCGUGCCAGCAGCCGCGGUAAUACGGAGGGUGCAAGCGUUAAUCGGAAUUACUGGGCGUAAAGCGCGCGUAGGCGGCUAGAUCAGUCGGGUGUGAAAGCCCCGGGCUUAACCUGGGAACUGCAUCCGAUACUGUCUAGCUUGAGUACCGGAGAGGAGAGUGGAAUUCCACAUGUAGCGGUGAAAUGCGUAGAUAUGUGGAGGAACACCAAUGGCGAAGGCAGCUCUCUGGCCUGAUACUGACGCUGAGGUGCGAAGGCGUGGGGAGCAAACAGGAUUAGAUACCCUUGUAGUC